rnacentral:misc_RNA from 1 species
GAUGAAGAACGCAGCGAAAUGCGAUAAGUAAUGUGAAUUGCAGAAUUCAGUGAAUCAUCGAAUCUUUGAACGCACAUUGCGCCCGCCAGUAUUCUGGCGGGCAUGCCUGUUCGAGCGUCAUUUCAACCCUCAAGCCCCAGCGGCCUGGUGUUGGGGACCGGCGACCUCGCCCGAGCCCGCCCUCCGGGGCGCGUGCCCGGUGCGUCCGCCGCCCCCGAAAUGAAUUGGCGGCCUCGUCGCGGCCUCCUCUGCGUAGUAGCACAACCUCGCAAGCGGGAGCGCGACGCGGCCACUGCCGUAAAACGCCCAACUUUUUUAGAGAUGACCUCGGAUCAGGUAGGAAUACCCGCUGAACUUAAGCAUAUCAAUAAGCGGAGGA